UGUUGAAAAGCCAGUGGGCCGAAGCUACCGUGCGUUGGAUUAUGACUGAACGCCUCUAAGUCAGAAUCCGGGCUAGACCGACGCAUGCGCUCGUCGCCCGUUUGCCGACCCGCAGUAGGGGCCAUUUGGCCCCCAAGGGCACGUGUCGUUGGCUAAGCCGUCGUGGCGGAAGGGUCACGGUGGCCGCCUUGAAUUACAAUUCCGAUCGAGCGGCGAGCUGAAUCCUUUGCAGACGACUUAAAUACGCGACGGGGUAUUGUAAGGGUAGAGUGGCCUUGCUGCCACGAUCCUCUGAGAUUCAGCCCUUUGUCGCUCCGAUUCGU
rnacentral:ncRNA from 1 species